GAAUGAACGCUGGCGGCGUGCUUAACACAUGCAAGUCGAACGAGAAAGGGAUUGCUUGCAAUCCUGAGUAGAGUGGCGCACGGGUGAGUAACACGUAGAUAAUCUACCUUCGAUUUUGGGAUAACCAUCCGAAAGGAUGGCUAAUACCGGAUAAGGUUUUAAUACACAAGUAUAAAGAUGAAAGUAUGCCUCUUCUUGAAAGCAUAUGAUUGGAGAUGAGUCUGCGGACCAUUAGUUUGUUGGUAGGGUAAUGGCCUACCAAGACUACGAUGGUUAGCUGGUCUGAGAGGAUGAUCAGUCACACUGGAACUGGAACACGGUCCAGACUCCUACGGGAGGCAGCAGUGAGGAAUUUUGCGCAAUGGGGGAAACCCUGACGCAGCAACGCCGCGUGAGUGAAGAAGGCCUUUGGGUCGUAAAGCUCUGUCAACUGGGAAGAAAUUAUAACUAUCCAAUAGGUAGUUGUAUUGACGGUACCAGUGGAGGAAGCGCCGGCUAACUCCGUGCCAGCAGCCGCGGUAACACGGGGGGCGCAAGCGUUAUUCGGAAUUAUUGGGCGUAAAGGGCGUGUAGGCGGUCUUAUCGGUCAGAUGUGAAAGCCCAGGGCUCAACCCUGGACGUGCAUUUGAAACAGUAAGACUUGAGUACUGGAGAGGAAAGCGGAAUUCCUGGUGUAGAGGUGAAAUUCGUAGAUAUCA
rnacentral:rRNA from 1 species